CAAAUAAAUAAAUUAAAUCUUUUUAAAAAAAUACAUAAAAUGAUAUGCCUUAGGAAUGACACAGUAAUUCACGCCUUUCUCCAUAGAAUAGGUUCAUGCAGACUGCCUUUCCUCUCACUAUCAGAAGUCCUUCUGUGAUAAACCUAACAGAUAAUAAUUUGGGCAGUGGCUUCUCUUCAACUCCUCCCCUGUCCUCUGCCUUCCUCCAGUUUUCACCUGCACACCGGGUGUGGCCACUGUGGUCGGCGCUGCAGGUACACAGGUAAGUCCCUGGGAUGCUGCCCGCAGAGGCCGCCUGGUCUGGGCGUGCACAGCAGAGUGCGUUUGCAGGAAGUUCCCUGGACAUGGGCAGGCUGUGCACCUGCCCUUAGAAGAGAGACAGCGCAGGACUCACGGAGGCUACGUGGCAGCCGAGGUUUCCAGUCCGGGUGGCCCAGAAACCAGGAGCCAUUCUGGGCACAGCCCUUGUGAGGCCUCAAAUCCCGAAGCUGGCUUUGGGGAGCACCUGUCGCCUGGCUCCGUCGUGGUCUACAAAGGUGGGGAGCGGCUGGGUGGCAGGAUGAGGCUGUCUCCCUCUCGACAGGAGCUCACUACUUGGCCAAAACAGAAACGUGGCCGAGAAGUGUGUUGUGUUAGGAAGUUCUGCCUUAUAUUGUGCCAAGUCUGAUCUCUCUUCUCUCUCACGUUGGGUUUAAGCCGCAGCAGCAGCGUGGAGUGAGCCUGUCUGCUCUUUGCCACACGCCUUUUAUGAGAAAAGUAGAAGAAACAGCGGCACUUUCCCAUGGAACAGAGUGAGCCACUGAACAGGAAAGGACAGAUGGGUACUGAGAGAAGCUGGUGGGUCAUCCUGCAGCCCAGCAGAGGAAUGAAGAACAGACUCAGGUGUUCUUGAACAGUGGGUCUCGGUUUCCCUGUCUCCUCACCAUGGACAUGUUCCCCGUCUGCAGUGUGAACUUCUGACUGUGCUACAGGCAUGUUACGAACCAGAAAGUUAACGGCGCAGAAUCCUGCUGACUUCGUGGUUCUCCUCUCCGCGCCUUUUCCAACCUUGAACCUGAGCCUUGCUAGAGGCUGGCGACUCCGGACAUGCAUCUGAGCAGUUAUCUGCUGGUGGCCUGGUUCCUGAGGUAACAAGUGGGCGUCCCGGGCGAGUGUGUGCUAAUAACGACUGUGAUGCCACGUGGUGCCCAGAGGUCGCUGCCAUCUGUCCCGGGGACUCCUGGUCCUCGGGGCUUCGGAGAUGAACUGUGAACUUGGGGCGUCCUGCGAAGUGCAGGCAUCGCGGAGUGCCCCAGCGAAUCUGGACGUGAGCAUAAACACAGCUUUCAAAGUGAAAGCAGGGGCCUCGAGGAAGGAAUUGCCCUCAUGUCAUUCUGGACCUGCUCACUGUGCUGUGCCGGGAAACAGAGUAAGUUUUGUUUGUUUCUUUGUUAGCCAAUCGCUCCUACAUGUUUUCUCUUGCUAACAUUAUAUUAGACACUCCGUAUCUGGCAAACGCCAGGGUGUUUUCCCCCUUCAUUGGGAAGUAGGAUAUGAAGUUUGUUAAAUAGCUAAUUGCUUCUUUUAUCUUUUCUGUCCUUCUUCCUGUAUCUAGCGCCCUGCCGGCUUGCUUGUUAGAGAUAGCAAGAGAUUGAAAUUUAUUAUCAGAAAACAAAAAGCUCUUUUUUUUUUUUUUUAAAACAGUCUGAGAACUUUGCCACUAAUUAAAUGACAAUGACACAGGCAAAGCUUUUUCCAUGGUGCAGCCAGGAGCACAUCUAGCAAAAUAGCCCCAGCUCACUGUCCUUAUUUGUGUUGGGAAGCAGAAGGGGUGCGUGUCUGAGACGUGUGUGAAAACAGAGAGUCCCCCCGCUGUGGGAACUACAGGCACUGGGUGGGAAUGGUGCCUGGACAAGAGGCUGGAAUUUAAAAACCUGUCAAGAAAUGGAAAGGGGCUGAGGAAUAUAAAUUAUUGAUGAUGUUGGAAAAACAAGACAAAACAAACAAAAAACCAGACUUCUCAUAAGAAUGGGAUAACAAUGUACAAAGACCUAAACCUGUCAACAGAAGCUGAAGUUUUUCUUCAUGUUAGAAAGGGUCAUGGAAUUUAUAGACAAUUUGGGGCUUUAGACUUACAGAUUUAUAGAAAAUGUGGAGCUUUCAGAAAAUAAUUCAGAGGCAUCAUCACCUCUGCAGAGGACUUCAAGACAGCAAGCCUAAUUCUGACACUUGACCCCCGUCUUCCAUUUUUGUUUGUUUGCGUUUUACCUGAUCCUAGCUUCGGAGCGGUUGCAUGACUCAGUGCCGUUUUAAUCCCAACUUCUGUGGUUUUGAAACUGCCCCAUGAAUGGAAAUGCAGAGUAGUUUACGAUUUGUAACUAGGUUAUCCUUCCUCCUGAAGUGGACUGUUUUUACCGUAGAGUUCUCUUGACUUUUCUCAACUUGAACAGUAACACCUAGAAGGUAGAAGGAGGCAGUGGAACUGUGGUGUGGCACCGGAAACAGAAAUUUCUAAAUCUGCUGUGAAUACUGGGAUACUGUAAAUUUAAAUUGGGCUUCUCUGCCCUGGGAAGCUCACAUUUUUAUCUCAGAGUGGUGGUGGUAGGGCUUGGGGUGUCUGUUUUUCAUUUAAAACAUUCCAGGCUCCUUAAAUGAAUGUCUACGAAUUAUUAAUUCAGCAAACUUCUUUAAAUAUCUUCUUUAUGUAACAGUACGGUGCUCAGAGCUAUAGUUUAAUCACAAUUAAAUUUACUGAGAUUUGGUUUGUAAAUUAAAGAUUGAGGACGUUUGAAACAAGGGUGAAUGAGCAGAGCAUUACCAUCGAAACGGUUUGUUAAAAGAUGGUGCCAAGUGAACAGGGCUGUCCCCUUCUGAGCUGCCCCUCCUAAUUAAAGGGGAAGGUGGCUGCCAUCUGUCUUCUUUCAUUCAAGGCAGUAGGGGGCCUGGAGUGGAAGGAAGCACCCCCCCCCCCCCCGUAUUUUUUCUCCCACUCUUUUUCAUAGUCAGCUUUCUCCCUAGUCAGUGACCCAGAAGGUCAUUGAUGAUCUAUCUGAGAAUGAAUAGUAACAUAAGCAUGCAAGGCACUUGCAGGGGAAAAAAAAAAAGUUUAUAACAUGUGCUUAUCCAUUUAGAAUUCUGCUUGGAUUAUGUCUGAGAGUGUUGGUAAUCUAUGUGUUGGUGUCUUUACUACUCUUGUUCCUGAAGACACUACUGACAGGAAAAGUAGGGAUUUUUAGUUGUAUUGAUUUAACUUUUUCAUGAAAAAAUUUUUACACUCCACUGGGCAUAAUCAGAAGAUGGCAGCAUGUAGCUAGCCAGUGGGGACGUCCAGAAAUGCUGUUCUUACCAAAAUCAAGACUACCUGUUAACUGUGAUACACACAUGUCAUCGCAGGGGAAACCGAGGGCAAGGGUACUCACCCAUGCCGGUAUUACUCAGUGCUUACCAAGGCUUACUGGACCGGUCGCUGAAACAGCUCACAUUGUUUAUCCUUUCAUUAGGCAAUAAGCCUUUUAGCCCCUUUUUCAUAAGACUAGCUUAUUGGAGAAUUUAAUUUGGGGUCAUGGCUUUUCAUUGCUUUUGAAAUGUCAAGUGCUCUAACUAACUGAUUGAGCUUUCUUGCCUCAGUUUCUACCUCUUUAAAGAGAAGGAAUAUGUGCUGCUUUCAGAAAUAUUUAAGAGACUAUGAAAUAAUGUUUUGUCUUUGAUAAAAGCUUUAUUAUAGGGGCACCUGGGUGGCUCAGUGGGUUAAAGCCUCUGCUUUUGGCUCAGGUCAUGAUCCCAGGGUCC